rnacentral:tRNA from 1 species
GCCUGGCUGGCUCAGUCAGAAGAGUGUGUGGCUCUCGAGCUCAGGGUCGUGAGUUCGAGCCCCAUGUUGGGCG